GAUCUGGAUUGCAGAGUAAAAAUGAUGUGGAACAGAGCUACACAAAACUACAUCCAAUAUUUAAUGAAAAUGAAAACUUAAAUAUUUGUGUGAUAACAUAUCCAAAGAUGAAAAAGCCUAAGUACAUUGUAACAGACACACUUCGCUGAAGGGCACUGCCUGAGACCUUCGUCAUCCAAGAUAAAAUAAACGACAGGCUGAGUCCUUUCAUAACCCACCCCCCCCAAUCAGGGAUUAAGCAGAAUUCUUUCAAAGAUUAAUGCAUGCUCCUGCACAAAUGUUUCAUGCUGAUUUUCGUUCUGGGAAAUGUAUUUUGCUGUGAUAGCUGGGCUGAAAGACAGUGCCCUUGGUGUCACCCCACAGCAAGUGUGAGGGGUCUGCAGAACCCUCUGUUCCUCAGCUGCACUGCCCUCUCCAGUGUCUUCAACAGACCGAACAAGUUAACACCUCAAGGCCUUUGAAUGUGUGUAGAAUGGCUUCAUCCUAGUAUCUCUUAUACAUGUAGAGGUCACCUGUGACUCUGCUCAUAUGUCAUCUUGUCACUGACUACCACAUCUAAAACUGUACUCUAACUUUUUGCUAAUCUAUCAAUAUUUUAAGUUGCCUAA